GUAGGUGGCAAGCGUUAUCCGGAAUUACUGGGUGUAAAGGGAGCGCAGGCGGGAUAGCAAGUCAGCGGUGAAAUGCAUGGGCUUAACUCAUGGGCUGCCGUUGAAACUGUUAUUCUUGAGUGGAGUAGAGGCAGGCGGAAUUCCGAGUGUAGCGGUGAAAUGCGCAGGUAUUCGGAGGAACACCAGUGGCGAAGGCGGCCUGCUGGGCUCUAACUGACGCUGAGGCUCGAAAGUGUGGGGAGCAAACAGGAUUAGAUACCCUGGUAGUCCACACUGUAAACGAUGAUUGCUAGGUGUGGGGGGUCUGACCCCCUCCGUGCCGGAGUUAACGCAAUAAG
rnacentral:rRNA from 1 species